UACGUAGGGGGCAAGCGUUGUCCGGAUUUAUUGAGCGUAAAGAGCGUGUAGGCGGCCAUGCAGGUCAGCUGUGAAAACUCGAGGCUCAACCUCGAGACGUCGGUUGAAACCGUAUGGCUAGAGUCCGGAAGAGGAGAGUGGAAUUCCCGGUGUAGCGGUGAAAUGCGCAGAUAUCGGGAAGAACACCCAUGGCGAAGGCAGCUCUCUGGGACGGUACUGACGCUGAGACGCGAAAGCGUGGGGAGCAAACAGG
rnacentral:rRNA from 1 species